GCCCAGCUAGUAUAGUGGUUAGUAUAUCAGUUUGUGGCACUCAAACCUCAAUUCACUGACGACCCAGGUUCGAUUCCUGGGCUGGGCA